UUACUUCUGGCUUAGAGGUUAAAGCAUCUGCCUGCAAUGCAGGAGACCUGGGUUAGAUCCCUAGGUAGAGAA
rnacentral:tRNA from 1 species